rnacentral:rRNA from 1 species
ACACAUGCAGUCGAGCGGGAGGGGCAGCAAUGCCCUGAGAGCGGCGCACGGGUGCGUAACGCGUAUGCAACCUGCCUUAUACAAAGGGAUAGCCCAUGGAAACGUGGAUUAAUAUCUUAUAGGACUUAAGAAUCGCAUGGUUUUUAAGUUAAAACUACGGUGGUAUAAGAUGGGCAUGCGUCUGAUUAGGUAGUUGGUAGGGUAACGGCCUACCAAGCCGACGAUCAGUAGGGGUUCUGAGAGGAUUACCCCCCACACUGGUACUGAGACACGGACCAGACUCCUACGGGAGGCAGCAGUGAGGAAUAUUGGUCAAUGGGCGAGAGCCUGAACCAGCCAUCCCGCGUGCAGGAUGACGGCCCUAUGGGUUGUAAACUGCUUUUCUGCCCCAAGAAACCCUGUUACGUGUAACAGGUUGACGGUAGGGCAGGAAUAAGCAUCGGCUAACUCCGUGCCAGCAGCCGCGGUAAUACGGAGGAUGCAAGCGUUAUCCGGAUUCAUUGGGUUUAAAGGGUGCGCAGGUUGGGAUGUAAGUCAGUGGUGAAAUACUGCCGCUUAACGGUAGAGCUGCCAUUGAUACUGCGCUUCUUGAGUAUGGUUGAGGUAGGUGGAAUGUGUUGUGUAGCGGUGAAAUGCAUAGAUAUGACACAGAACGCCGAUUGCGAAGGCAACUUACUAAGCCAUUACUGACGCUGAGGCACGAAAGCGUGGGUAGCGAACAGGAUUAGAUACCCUGGUAGUCCACGCCGUAAACGAUGUUCACUCGCUGUUUGCGAUACACAGUAAGCGGCUGAGCGAAAGCAUUAAGUGAACCACCUGGGGAGUACGAUCGCAAGGUGAAACUCA